UACGGAGGGUGCAAGCGUUAAUCGGAAUUACUGGGCGUAAAGCGCGCGUAGGUGGUUGUAGAAGUGGAAUGUGAAAGCCCCGGGCUCAACCUGGGAAUUGCAUACCAAACUGCACAACUAGAGUACGGUAGAGGGGGGUAGAAUUUCAGGUGUAGCGGUGAAAUGCGUAGAGAUCUGAAGGAAUACCAGUGGCGAAGGCGGCCCCCUGGAUUGAUACUGACACUGAGGUGCGAAAGCGUGGGUAGCAAACAGG
rnacentral:rRNA from 1 species